AAUGAAGAAUAUAUUUAGUGGAACUGUCCAUUGAUUAAUAGGAUUGAAAUUCACAUUGAAGUAUUUAUAUGAAAAAUAAAGAAAGAUGGAAGAUUUAUUAUAAGAGAGAAGAGAACGAAUUUUUGUAAUAAUGCACGAUAAGCAAAUUUAUUGGUAGGCGAACCGGUGCUGGCAGAAAUAUGUAAUUGCCGACGAAAAAGCGCGGGGAACCGUCGCAUACACGGCCCACUGACUUCUGAUGCGAUCAACAUCGGCAUGGACACAAUAUCCAACGUUAUAUCGCCACCCUAAUUAUAAUUAGUUCGCUAAUAAUUGCGCCUUGAAUUCUAAUGCAGCUGAACAGCCUGGGAGAUGGGCUUUUCGCAACUGACUCGUGUCUCGACGGUUACCAUACGUUGAGACCAACGCCAUUUUUUUUU